rnacentral:rRNA from 1 species
CCUACGGGAGGCAGCAGUGAGGAAUAUUGGUCAAUGGACGAGAGUCUGAACCAGCCAAGUAGCGUGAAGGAUGACUGCCCUAUGGGUUGUAAACUUCUUUUAUAUGGGAAUAAAAUGUUCCACGUGUGGGAUUUUGUAUGUACCAUAUGAAUAAGGCUCGGCUAACUCCGUGCCAGCAGCCGCGGUAAUACGGAGGAUCCGAGCGUUAUCCGGAUUUAUUGGGUUUAAAGGGAGCGUAGGUGGAUUGUUAAGUCAGUUGUGAAAGUUUGCGGCUCAACCGUAAAAUUGCAGUUGAAACUGGCAGUCGUGAGUACAGUAGAGGUGGGCGGAAUUCGUGGUGUAGCGGUGAAAUGCUUAGAUAUCACGAAGAACUCCGAUUGCGAAGGCAGCUCACUGGACUGCAACUGACACUGAGGCUCGAAAGUGUGGGUAUCAAACAGGAUUAGAUACCCCAGUAGUC